rnacentral:rRNA from 1 species
GGCUCAGGAUGAACGCUAGCGACAGGCCUAACACAUGCAAGUCAGGGGCAGCACAAGGAGCAAUCUGAGGUGGCGACCGGCGCACGGGUGAGUAACACGUAUGCAACCUGCCUGUAAGCGGGGAAUAACCCGUUGAAAGACGGACUAAUACCGCAUAAUACUAAAUUACUGCAUGGUAAUUUAUUUAAACAUUUAUGGCUUACAGAUGGGCAUGCGCAUGAUUAGCUAGUUGGAGAGGUAACGGCUCCCCAAGGCAACGAUCAUUAGGGGUUCUGAGAGGAAGGUCCCCCCACACUGGUACUGAGACACGGACCAGACUCCUACGGGAGGCAGCAGUGAGGAAUAUUGGUCAAUGGACGAGAGUCUGAACCAGCCAAGUCGCGUGCAGGAAGAAUUGUCCUAUGGAUUGUAAACUGCUUUUGCAGGGGAAUAAAGUGCAUCACGUGUGAUGUUUUGUAUGUACUCUGCGAAUAAGGAUCGGCUAACUCCGUGCCAGCCGCGGC